rnacentral:rRNA from 1 species
UGGUGGAGUGAUUUGUCUGGUUGAUUCCGUUAACGAACGAGACCUCGACCUGCUAAAUAGUUCGGCGAAUCCUUGGAUUCGUACGGACUUCUUAGAGGGACUAUCGGUGUGUAAUCGGUGGAAGUUCGAGGCAAUAACA